UACAGAGGUCCCAAGCGUUGUUCGGAUUCAUUGGGCGUAAAGGGUGUGUAGGCGGCUUUGCAAGUCAGGUGUGAAAGCCCUGGGCUCAACCUAGGAAGUGCACUUGAAACUGCAGAGCUUGAAUGCUGGAGAGGGAAGCGGAAUUCUCGGUGUAGAGGUGAAAUUCGUAGAUAUCGAGAGGAACACCGGUGGCGAAGGCGGCUUCCUGGACAGUUAUUGACGCUGAGACGCGAAAGCGUGGGGAGCAAACAGG
rnacentral:rRNA from 1 species